UACGGAGGGUGCAAGCGUUAUCCGGAUUCACUGGGUUUAAAGGGUGCGUAGGUGGGUUGGUAAGUCAGUGGUGAAAUCUCCGUGCUUAACAUGGAAACUGCCAUUGAUACUACUGGUCUUGAAUUUUCUGGAGGUAAGCGGAAUAUGUCAUGUAGCGGUGAAAUGCUUAGAUAUGACAUAGAACACCAAUUGCGAAGGCAGCUCACUACACAGCCAUUGACGCUGAGGCACGAAAGCGUGGGGAUCAAACAGG
rnacentral:rRNA from 1 species